rnacentral:rRNA from 1 species
UACGUAUGGGGCAAGCGUUAUCCGGAUUUACUGGGUGUAAAGGGAGCGUAGGCGGCAGGGCAAGCCUGAUGUGAAAGCCCGGGGCUCAACCCCGGGACUGCAUUGGGAACUGCCCUGCUGGAGUGCCGGAGGGGCAGGCGGAAUUCCUAGUGUAGCGGUGAAAUGCGUAGAUAUUAGGAGGAACACCAGUGGCGAAGGCGGCCUGCUGGACGGUGACUGACGCUGAGGCUCGUAAGCGUGGGGAGCAAACAGG